ensembl:lncRNA
AUGACCAGACCAAGUAAAAUGGACCCAGCAGACUACAGAAAACAGCUCCUUGACAUUGAGGAGAAAUUGUGGGGGGAUCUUGAUGUCAAGACGGACGAAAGGGAAAUGCUACAGAUAAUAGCUGAAUUUAACAGGACAAUAUUUGAUAAGCCUUGGUUGUGGGCAGUUCCAUGUGCUGUGGAGUUAAUUGCCGAAGUUGCUGACCUCAGGAGAACCUUGCUGGUCAAGCUAAGCAGCAGCAACUCCCAGCAAGCUCCCAGUGUUUCAGCCCAUGCCUCAGCCUCAGCCAAAGCUAAGCUACCAGCCCAUGCCUCAGCCAAAGCUAAGCUACCAGCCCAAGCCCAUGCCUCAGCUCCUUCAGCACAUGCCUCAGCCCAUGCCUCAGCUAAAAUGUCCCCUUUUUGUGGAACCCGCCUGGCCUACAAAAUACCUCCACCAAGAAAGCAACGUUCUCGGCAGCGUCCUGGCUCCUUGAAGUCUGGCAAUGGAGCCCCAACUCCAUUGUCAACUGCCCAGCCAGCGCUUGCCGGGUUUGCACCGCUAAAGGUGUGGCUGACACCCACGCCUGCCAGUGGCCUUCAGUCGGCGGCCCGGUCGACACCUGUUCCUGCCAGUGGCCUUCAGUCGGCGGCCCAGUCGGCGCCUGUUCCUGCCAGUGGCCUUCAGUCGGCGGCCCGGUCGGCGCCUGUUCCUGCCAGUGGCCUUCAGUCGGCGGCCCGGAUGGCGCCUGUUCCUGCCAGUGGCCUUCAGUCGGCGGACCUGAUGGCGCCUGUUCCUGCCAGUGGCCUUCAGGCGGCGGACCUGAUGGCGCCUGUUCCCGCUCCUCGGUCGGAGGCCCGGCCGAGUCCAGUUCCCGCUCCUCGGUCGGAGGCCCGGCCGAGUCCAGUUCCGGCUCCUCGGUCGGAGGCCCGGCCGAGUCCAGUUCCGGCUCCUCGGUCGGAGGCCCGGCCGAGUCCAGUUCCGGCUCCUCGGUCGGAGGCCCGGCCGAGUCCAGUUCCGGCUCCUCGGUCGGAGGCCCGGCCGAGUCCAGUUCCCGCACCUCGGUCGGAGGCCCGGCCGAGUCCAGUUCCCGCACCUCGGUCGGAGGCCCGGCCGAGGCCCAUGCCAAGUCCUGUCCCUGCUCCUCGGUCGGAGGCCCGGCCGAGGCCUAUGCCAAGUCCUGUCCCUGCUCCUCGGUCCGAGUUCGUCCACUGCCAGCCACCGUUCAUCAGCUUCCAGGCCACCAGCUCCCUGCAAACCCCUGUUGGUGGUCCAGCCAAGACCCAGGAGGUUUUCCCAGCCAGUGGGCCGGCCUCCAGAACGCCUACGCCUUCAUCUUCGUCGCCGGCCUCCAGAACGCCUUCGCCUUCGUCGCCGGCCUCCAGCACGCCUUCGCCUUCGUCGCCGGCCUCCAGAACGCCUACGUCUUCGUCCACAUCCCCGGCCUCUAGUGGGUCCCAGUCCACGUCCCCGGCCUCUAGUGGGCCCACAUCCCCGGCCUCUAGGGGGCCCCAGCCCACAUCCCCGGCCUCUAGGGGGCCCCAGCCCACAUCCCCGGCCUCUAGGGGGCCCCAGCCCACAUCCCCGGCAUUCUGUUUGUUUGGACCUUGGCCCUCCUCCUAA